rnacentral:rRNA from 1 species
UUUUACGCCUACAGUCCGCCAGAAUAAAGCUUAUUCUAAACUAACCAGCAAAACAAGUAUGACGUUUUUACAACGAAACUGCGAAUGCUCUGUAAUACAGUAAGAUCUUUCGGAGAAAAUACUACUCAGACAACCGUAGUAAAGCUAGAGCUAAUACGUGCUACAAAAAUGAGGGAGAGCAAUCGCUCUCGUGGUCCAAAAUAGAGAUCCAAUCCAGUUUUUUUCUGGUGAUUCAUACUUUUUUCUGAUCGCACUCUUUGUGUGUGACGCUCCGAUCAAAUUUCUGACCUAUCAACUAUGAUGGUAAGGUAGUGGCUUACCAUAGUUGUGACGGGUAACGGACCGUGGGUGCGGGGUUCCGGAGAGGGAGCCUGAGAAACGGCUACCACAUCCAAGGCAGCAGGCGCGCAAAUUACCCAAUCCGAACUUCGGGAGGUAGUGACAAGAAAUAGCAAUAGGGGGACCAAUGGUCUCUCUCAAUUGGAAUGAAAACAAUGUAAACUCCUUAUUGAGGAGCCAGCAGAGGGCAAGUCUGGUGCCAGCAGCCGCGGUAAUUCCAGCUCUGUAAGCGUAUACCAAAGUUGUUGCAGUUAAAACGCUCGUAGUCGAACUUUGGCGGUGGUUGCUGAAACUUCGUAAGAAGGUUUGAUGUACCACCGUCUUUGUGGAUUAUGAGACUGUGGUGGUACUUUAUUGUAUUGCUACUUGUUCGCCACUGUUUACUGUGAAAAAAUUAGAGUGUUUAAAGCAAGCGAUUGCUGAAUACAUUACAUGGAAUAAUAGAAUAGGACCUGAUCCUGUUUUUAUUGGUUUGUCGGUAUCAGGUAAUGAUUAACAGGGACGGUCGGGGGCAUUUGUAUUCCAGCGCGAGAGGUGAAAUUCUUAGACCGUUGGAAGACAAACAGCGCGAAAGCGUCUGCCAAGGACGUUUUCAUUGAUCAAGAACGAAAGUAAGGGGAUCGAAGACGAUCAGAUACCGUCGUAGUCUUUACUGUAAACUAUGAGGCCUGGGGAUCGGGUGUGGCCAAAUUGGUACGCUCGGCACCCUCCGGGAAACCAAAGCUUUGCUUCCUGGGGAGAAACU